UGAUGCAAUUCAAUGAAAAGCAUAUGUUCAAGGAGUCAAGCAUGUAAUCAAGCAUUUAGGAGAGAACCCCCAAUUAUUAUUAUCAACAUGCUGCCAAGAUUAGAGACCUCAAAAAACAAGGCAAGCAAUUUUCUCUUGCUUGUAAUUAACUUAAUGUACACUAUUAUUACAGAUAGCAAAAGUGGACUGAAUUCGUUACUCCAUCUUUUAUCCUUGUUUGUGGAAAGCUCGAUGAAGUGUGUCCAGGCAGUAUAGUUUUUUUAACUACAACAUCUUGACCUAUCUUUUAUCCUUAUUGUGGAAAACUGAAUAAAGUUUGUACGAGAGGUACAUUGCAACAUCUUUACUAUCGUUUAUUCUUAUUGUGGAAAUCUGAAUAAGUGUGUACAAACAGAAUAAUUUUUUUAGCUGCAACAUUUUGACCCUGCUACUUCUUAUUUUAAUAAGGGUGCAAGAUUGAUGGAUUUGUACUUACGCACGAGGGAAGCGGUGCUUGUGGUUUGUAGAAAAUAUAGCUAAAAAUAUUAUUUUGAUACAGGUUGUACUCCAAAGUAAUUGUGGUGUACUGGUUCCAGAGUAUCACUAGAGAGGACAUGACUUCUGGAUUAAGCAUGACUUCUCUACCUACUCUACUACCAGUGAGCGGUCAGCUACUUUGAUAUGUAAAUUUACAUUUGCAAUUCUACUGCAAACUAAUAGCUUUUUAUAUAUGUUGAAUACAUUUUUGUGUCUCUUACUAGUGUUCCAGUUCAAUAAUUGCUACAUCCUAAUUCUUUAGUUUGUCAAUAUGUUGUGACUGCCUUUAUUAGGUUAUGGCACGUUGUUUGAGCCCGGGCUUUUUGAAGCUCUGCUGCAGAUUUAGUGGUUGCUCCUAGCACUUGACGAUGAGCAAUGAUUCUUAUUGCAUAUCAUAUAUUCAGAUUACCAGUUUCAUAUGAGAUAAUUAUGCUUCAGAAAGACCUACAAGUAGAACUUAUGUUUUCGCUGCAACAUGGGUGAAUACUUUUACGACAGGAACUGGCAUCCUCACAUGCUGCCAGCACUUUGUAACUGGGUUUUGAAGAUUUGCAUGUUCCCAUUUCUGCAGCAAGUGCAUGGUCCUCACCGUUUUGAAGAUUGCAUCCUAUCUUUUCAUUUCAGUAGUUGUAGUUUGUCCAAGUUUUGGACAUUGGGAGAUUGGUGAGUUGUUGUGACAUGAAGAGCUUC